rnacentral:lncRNA from 1 species
AAUACAUAAAAAAUGCUUAUUUGUGUAUUCUAACUACAUUAAAAAGUUAGAAAUGCCAGAACUUUUUAAAUUAAAGGUCUAGAGUGAGGGGUUCAAUAUACCGCAGGGGGGUCAAAAUACCAUGGCAAAGUAAAAUUUUCAAAAUAUCUUUUCCAUCAAAGUUAAUACAUACAAACUACUUGUGUGUGUAUAUGAACUACAUAUAAGAGCUAAAAUUGCCAGAUUUUUUUGAAUUGUCUAUAGUAAGGGGUUCAAUAUAUCGCAGGGGGUCAAAAUACCAUGGCAAAGUAAAAUUUUAAAAAUAUCUUUU